UCUCUUACAUAUUAUGUGAUUGGAUACAGUCCUGAGGUAGGCAGGUGAGUUUUAACAUGAGAGUUCUUCGUUAUACGACCUUACAUUACCUCGCCUUCAUAAACUUAUCUUACAUUUCAAUAUCAUCUAAUACUUUUACCAGCAUUUUACUCGUAAGUCCUGACUUCUAUUGCUUUACGCUUGUUCAUGCAGGUUCUUCUGCAAACUAAUAAUUUUGUUCUCUGCGCACUUGUCCUCAAUAUCCAUGUUCCGAUUUCUGGCCUCAAUCUUUCAAACCGCGGUUGCUUCCACCACAGCUGGUAGUUUUGCAAUUCUGAUAAUGAUGCUAUUUGGCACAUUGGCGGUUUCAUCAUCCCAAAAUCCUCUACUCCUGCUUUGUUGAAGUGGGGUUUCUGGGUCUCUCCACUAUCAUAUGGAGGAAUUGGACAUUCUGUUAAUGAUUUUGAUGCUCCACGAUGGAAAAAGGUGAUGGGCACUUAAUGGUUUGCUAACUUUGCAGUAUGAAGGUAUUGAUAAGGAAAUAACGGUAUUUGGAGAAACCAAAACCGUGGCGGCCUUCUUGAAGGAUUAUUUCGGAUUUCACCAUGAUCAAUGGUAUGUCCUUUCCUUUUGUUCUAGCGACUCUUUUUGCAUUCUGUAUAGGGCGCUUCAACUUCCAGAGAAGAUGACAUCAGACUUCUCUGUUAGUAUUACGGUGUAAACUCUAGUUGUACAAUCCUCAAAACUUAGCCAAAUAAAGUGAAUAGGUUUUUGUGACAAUGGAAUGGCCUCAUUCAAACAUUUAGUAUUCUGGAUUUAAAAGUGUCGAUGUUUUGGUAAGGCCAAUUUGUAAAAGCUUGGAUGAGGAUUCAUCGUUAGACAGUA